UUGAACGCUGGCGGCAGGCUUAACACAUGCAAGUCGAGCGGGGGAAGGUAGCUUGCUACCGGACCUAGCGGCGGACGGGUGAGUAAUGCUUAGGAAUCUGCCUAUUAGUGGGGGACAACAUCUCGAAAGGGAUGCUAAUACCGCAUACGUCCUACGGGAGAAAGCAGGGGAUCUUCGGACCUUGCGCUAAUAGAUGAGCCUAAGUCGGAUUAGCUAGUUGGUGGGGUAAAGGCCUACCAAGGCGACGAUCUGUAGCGGGUCUGAGAGGAUGAUCCGCCACACUGGGACUGAGACACGGCCCAGACUCCUACGGGAGGCAGCAGUGGGGAAUAUUGGACAAUGGGGGGAACCCUGAUCCAGCCAUGCCGCGUGUGUGAAGAAGGCCUUAUGGUUGUAAAGCACUUUAAGCGAGGAGGAGGCUACUUUAGUUAAUACCUAGAGAUAGUGGACGUUACUCGCAGAAUAAGCACCGGCUAACUCUGUGCCAGCAGCCGCGGUAAUACAGAGGGUGCGAGCGUUAAUCGGAUUUACUGGGCGUAAAGCGUGCGUAGGCGGCUUAUUAAGUCGGAUGUGAAAUCCCCGAGCUUAACUUGGGAAUCGCAUUCGAUACUGGUGAGCUAGAGUACGGGAGAGGAUGGUAGAAUUCCAGGUGUAGCGGUGAAAUGCGUAGAGAUCUGGAGGAAUACCGAUGGCGAAGGCAGCCAUCUGGCCUAAUACUGACGCUGAGGUACGAAAGCAUGGGGAGCAAACAGGAUUAGAUACCCUGGUAGUCCAUGCCGUAAACGAUGUCUA
rnacentral:rRNA from 1 species